AUCCAGCUGACGAAUCGCAAAUAAGACGAAACACGCCUCAAACUGGAU
rfam:Schistosoma mattheei strain Denwood, Zambia genome assembly, scaffold: SMTD_scaffold0000585